rnacentral:rRNA from 1 species
CCUACGGGGCGCUGCAGUGGGGAAUAUUGGACAAUGGGCGAAAGCCUGAUCCAGCCAUGCCGCGUGUGUGAAGAAGGCCUUCGGGUUGUAAAGCACUUUCAGUGGGGAAGAAAGCCUUGGGGCUAAUACCCUCGAGGAAGGACAUCACCCACAGAAGAAGCACCGGCUAACUCCGUGCCAGCAGCCGCGGUAAUACGGAGGGUGCGAGCGUUAAUCGGAAUUACUGGGCGUAAAGCGCGCGUAGGCGGUCUGAUAAGCCGGUUGUGAAAGCCCCGGGCUCAACCUGGGAACGGCAUCCGGAACUGUCAGGCUAGAGUGCAGGAGAGGAAGGUUGAAUUCCCGGUGUAGCGGUGAAAUGCGUAGAGAUCGGGAGGAAUACCAGUGGCGAAGGCGGCCUUCUGGACUGACACUGACGCUGAGGUGCGAAAGCGUGGGUAGCAAACAGGAUUAGAUACCCGAGUAGUC